rnacentral:rRNA from 1 species
GAUGAACGCUCGCUCCAGGCUUAACACAUGCAAGUCGAGGGGAAACGGCAUCGAAAGCUUGCUUUUGAUGGGCGUCGACCGGCGCACGGGGGAGUAACGCGUAUCCAACCUGCCCAUCACUUGGGAAUAACCUUGCGAAAGUAAGACUAAUGCCCAAUGACAUCCCACGAAGGCAUCCGAAUGGGAUUAAAGAUUUAUCGGUGAUGGAUGGGGAUGCGUCUGAUUAGCUUGUUGGCGGGGUGACGGCCCACCAAGGCAACGAUCAGUAGGGGUUCUGAGAGGAAGGUCCCCCACAUUGGAACGGAGACACGGUCCAAACUCCUACGGGAGGCAGCAGUGAGGAAUAUGGGUCAAGGGGCGAGAGCCUGAACCAGCCAAGUAGCGUGCAGGAUGACGGCCCUAUGGGUUGUAAACUGCUUUUAUAAGGGAAUAAAGUGGGUCACGUGUGACUUUUUGCAUGUACCUUAUGAAUAAGGACCGGCUAAUUCCGUG